rnacentral:snRNA from 1 species
GGGCUCCUUCCACAGCAUAUGAGCUAAAACUGGAACAACCCAAAGAAGGUAGUGUAGUCCCCGUGCAAAGAGGACAGACAAAUUUGUGAAGUGCUCCAUAUUAAG